rfam:Triticum aestivum genome assembly, contig: Triticum_aestivum_CS42_TGACv1_scaffold_641775_T_2AL-0.123319_1AS-0.096346
AACCUACUCCCUCUGUUUGGAAUUACUUGUCUCGGAAAUGGAUGUUUCUAGAACUAAAAUACAUCUAGAUACAUCCAUUUCUGUGACAAGUAAUUCCAAAUGGAGGGAGUAUUUC